rnacentral:rRNA from 1 species
GACGAACGCUGGCGGCGUGCCUAAUACAUGCAAGUAGAACGCUGAAGAGAGGAGCUUGCUCUUCUUGGAUGAGUUGCGAACGGGUGAGUAACGCGUAGGUAACCUGCCUUGUAGCGGGGGAUAACUAUUGGAAACGAUAGCUAAUACCGCAUAACAAUGGAUGACACAUGUCAUUUAUUUGAAAGGGGCAAUUGCUCCACUACAAGAUGGACCUGCGUUGUAUUAGCUAGUAGGUGAGGUAAUGGCUCACCUAGGCGACGAUACAUAGCCGAACUGGGAGGGUGAUCCGCCAAACUGGGACUGGGAAACGGCCCAGAACCCUAAGGGGGGGAGCAGUAGGGAAUCCUCGGGAAUGGGGGCAAAGCUGACCGGGCAACGCCGGGUGAGUGAAGAAGGUUUUCGGAUCGUAAAGCUCUGUUGUAAGUCAAGAAAGGGUGUGAGAGUGGAAAGUUCACAUUGUGACGGUAGCUUACCAGAAAGGGACGGCUAACUACGUG